GAUGAACGCUGGCGGCGUGCUUAACACAUGCAAGUCGAACGGGAAACCUUUUAUUGAAGCUUCGGCAGAUUUAGCUGGUUUCUAGUGGCGGACGGGUGAGUAACGCGUGGGUAACCUGCCUUAUACAGGGGGAUAACAGUCAGAAAUGGCUGCUAAUACCGCAUAAGCGCACAGAGCUGCAUGGCUCAGUGUGCAAAACUCCGGUGGUAUAAGAUGGACCCGCGUUGGAUUAGCUGGUUGGUGGGGUAACGGCCCACCAAGGCGACGAUCCAUAGCCGGCCUGAGAGGGUGAACGGCCACAUUGGGACUGAGACACGGCCCAGACUCCUACGGGAGGCAGCAGUGGGGAAUAUUGCACAAUGGGGGAAACCCUGAUGCAGCGACGCCGCGUGAAGGAAGAAGUAUCUCGGUAUGUAAACUUCUAUCAGCAGGGAAGAUAAUGACGGUACCUGACUAAGAAGCCCCGGCUAACUACGUG
rnacentral:rRNA from 1 species